GGCCUGGCUCCAUGCAGGCUCCCGGGGCUAACCCCGCCAGAACCGGAAGGUAGCAACGGUAACCCACUGGUGGUUGUGACGUGGCUCCGCCGGGCCGCC
rnacentral:SRP_RNA from 1 species